rnacentral:rRNA from 1 species
UACGAAGGGGGCUAGCGUUGUUCGGAUUUACUGGGCGUAAAGCGCACGUAGGCGGAUCGUUAAGUCGGGGGUGAAAUCCUGGAGCUCAACUCCAGAACUGCCUUCGAUACUGGCGAUCUUGAGUCCGGAAGAGGUGAGUGGAACUCCUAGUGUAGAGGUGGAAUUCGUAGAUAUUAGGAAGAACACCAGUGGCGAAGGCGGCUCACUGGUCCGGUACUGACGCUGAGGUGCGAAAGCGUGGGGAGCAAACAGGAUUGAGA